GCACAGCGCAGUGCCAGCAUCGCAGUGGAUAAGACCUCAGGAAAACCUGGUGGUUGUGUUUGUCAAGGGUAGCGAAUGCAGCCUGGCUCCCCAUGAGCCUGCAGACCAGUACAUCAAGAGUGGGACAGUAUCCAUUCAACUACAGACUUGCCUGAAGCGUGGCUCUCUGCUUUCUCCUUCUUGUCUGGUUGUUGCUCAAGGGAAGACCACGGUUUGGGAUAAUCUCUACUCUCCAACAAACACAUCGCACAUGGGAAUGAUGUCUCUGAGCUUGUGCCUCUGCAAGGCCACACGCUUUAUGGCGCUGAGUCCAAGAGAAGACUUCCAAGUGAUUGUCAGGUUUGUAGAUCCUGCUGCUGCAACCGCUUAGGGCAACGUGCAUCACUUCUCUGUUGGAGCAGUGACACGAAGUCAGCACUGUGUUCAGGGCUGUUUGCUGACUGAGCUCCAAAACCACAGACUUUCUGCACUUAGUGCUUGGGAGACGUGAGCAGG
rnacentral:lncRNA from 1 species